rnacentral:rRNA from 1 species
AGAGUUUGAUCAUGGCUCAGAUUGAACGCUGGCGGCAUGCCUUACACAUGCAAGUCGAACGGUAACAGGUCUUCGGAUGCUGACGAGUGGCGAACGGGUGAGUAAUACAUCGGAACGUGCCCGAUCGUGGGGGAUAACGAAGCGAAAGCUUUGCUAAUACCGCAUACGAUCUACGGAUGAAAGCAGGGGACCGCAAGGCCUUGCGCGAACGGAGCGGCCGAUGGCAGAUUAGGUAGUUGGUGGGAUAAAAGCUUACCAAGCCGACGAUCUGUAGCUGGUCUGAGAGGACGACCAGCCACACUGGGACUGAGACACGGCCCAGACUCCUACGGGAGGCAGCAGGUGGGGUAAUUUUGGACAAUGGGCGAAAGCCUGAUCCAGCCAUGCCGCGUGCAGGAUGAAGGCCUUCGGGUUGUAAACUGUCUUUGUACGGAAACGAAAAGACUCUGGUUAAUACCUGGGGUCCAUGACGGUACCGUAAGAAUAAGCACCGGCUAACUACGUG